ensembl:lncRNA
GUGAUCAUCUUACUGAAAUAUGCCAUCUUUACUUUCGCUUCCCGCACCCAGUCCUGUGUGGAUGCUAGGCUCGGGCUAGCGCUGGAUUUACUUAGAAAACAGACCAUAAAAGAGGUAUUUAGACACUAAAGUUAACUGCAAACGUUACGGAAGUAGACAGGAAUCAUCAGACAUCUUUGAACCACGUAGAAAUCGAUAUUCCGGCUGCUUUUUUUUUUUUUUUGAGGACUCUCUUCAGUGGGACUUCGAUCUCCAUCCAUCUGCCACUGUGUGUUGCUGUCUAUCCACGUCCACAUCUCCAUCACGCUGGGAUCGGCCAUCACCUCGGACCAUCUCGUUGGACGUUCAUUAUAAGGGGGAGUUUGCAAAAUCAUCUCGCGGGCCAGAAAGGACCCUCUGGAGGGCCGGUUAUGGCCUGCGGGCCUUAUGUUUGACACCUCUGAGCUAAACCACGUUGCCCGGGAUCCAUCCAUCACGGCACUUGGCGGGCUCAACUAGAAAAAGGCGGCGCUUUUAUCAAUACAACGGCUCAGGGAUGGAAAGUUCCGGAAUGUUUAGUUGUUGUUCUCCAAGACUAAGACGAAGAUCUGAUACAGGAAGAUAAAAUCCCCCACGGUUCAGAGCCAAGUGCUCGGCUUCGACCUCCAACAAUAAGGAGCCAAAGUGCGAUUAAUCCGUCAGGAAACAAAGAAAUAUCUUCCCCCAAAGAACUCCAGCAUCCAGCUUUCCUAAAGUCUCGUCAUUCUGUCAACACGAACGUUCGGCUCCGGCCCUGAUUUAGGUUUUUAUUGCCAUCUGUUCUGAGUCCAAACAUUUUAUUUUUAGAUCUGAAUUCCACAGUUUCAGGUGGACAUGAUUGAAAAAAGAUCCACCUAAUGACUGCUGGAGAUAAUAAUCAACAUGUGUGCCGGACAAACUGUUUCCUGAAAGCACAGUUUGUGAUUGAGACGUCUUUGGAACCCACAAAUAUGAAGCAAGU